rnacentral:rRNA from 1 species
GAUGAACGCUGGCGGCGUGCUUAACACAUGCAAGUCGAACGGAAAGGCUCAAGCUUGCUUGGGUACUCGAGUGGCGAACGGGUGAGUAACACGUGGGUGAUCUGCCCUGCACUUCGGGAUAAGCCUGGGAAACUGGGUCUAAUACCGGAUAGGACCACAUUUUGGAUGGUGUGGUGGAAAGUUUUUCGGUGUGGGAUGAGCUCGCGGCCUAUCAGCUUGUUGGUGGGGUAAUGGCCUACCGAGGCGUCGACGGGUAGCCGGCCUGAGAGGGUGUACGGCCACAUUGGGACUGAGAUACGGCCCAGACUCCUACGGGAGGCAGCAGUGGGGAAUAUUGCACAAUGGGCGCAAGCCUGAUGCAGCGACGCCGCGUGGGGGAUGACGGCCUUCGGGUGGUAAACUCCUUUCGCUAGGGACGAAGCGCAAGUGACGGUACCUGGAGAAGAAGCACCGGCUAACUACGU